UAUCUAAAUUGAUACAAAUGGGACAGUAUAUGCACCAUUCCAGAUACCUAAUCACAGCUCAAUCGAUGCUGGAGUCUCUCCCCUUUUUCUUUCUGCAGAAAACAUGCUUUACAUAGGAUCUCUGAACUUAAAGAAUGGGAAGAAGAAAAAUCAUGUUUCCAGCUUGGGCUGCUGUUUCAUCUGCUGGACUUGCUUGAACCCUGAAUGGAAAGGAUUACUGUGCACACUUUUUAGAUACAGAAACUGAGAUUCAGAGAGGGUAAACAACUUUCCUAAAGCCACACAGCGAGAGUCUAUCUGAACUGAAGAUUGUUUGACAUCAAAGCUCAUUUCUUUCCCUAAAUGUCAGCAUUCUCUCCUGACUUAUUAAUUUGAUUUCUGUCUUCCCCUCAUGGAAGUUAAUUAAAGGAAUGCAAGAACCUUUUAGAAAAUCUC